AACCCAUGGUGAAGGCACCUUCUCAAUAAAUCAUUGUAUCUCUCUCAUGCAUCAUAAAGAGUUUCUAGAUCCAUCUAUACAAAAGAAAAGAUAUCAUUCCUUAAUUU
rnacentral:snoRNA from 1 species